rnacentral:rRNA from 1 species
UGGGGAAUUUUGGACAAUGGGCGCAAGCCUGAUCCAGCAAUGCCGCGUGCAGGAUGAAGGCCUUCGGGUUGUAAACUGCUUUUGUACGGAACGAAAAGCCUCUCUCUAAUACAGGGGGUGAUGACGGUACCGUAAGAAUAAGCACCGGCUAACUACGUGCCAGCAGCCGCGGUAAUACGUAGGGUGCAAGCGUUAAUCGGAAUUACUGGGCGUAAAGCGCGCGCAGGCGGUUUUGUAAGACAGUGGUGAAAUCCCCGGGCUCAACCUGGGAACUGCCAUUGUGACUGCAAGGCUGGAGUGCGGCAGAGGGGGAUGGAAUUCCGCGUGUAGCAGUGAAAUGCGUAGAUAUGCGGAGGAACACCGAUGGCGAAGGCAAUCCCCUGGGCCUGCACUGACGCUCAUGCACGAGAGCGUGGGGAGCAAAACAGGAUUAGAUACCCUGGUAGUCCACGCCCUAAAACGAUGUCAACUGGUUGUUGGGGGAUUUAUUUCUUCAGUAACGAAGCUAACGCGUGAAGUUGACCGCCUGGGGGAGUACGGCCGC